UUUCUUCGGAGAGUUUGAUCCUGGCUCAGGAUGAACGCUGGCGGCGUGCCUAAUACAUGCAAGUCGAGCGAACUGAUUAGAAGCUUGCUUCUAUGACGUUAGCGGCGGACGGGUGAGUAACACGUGGGCAACCUGCCUGUAAGACUGGGAUAACUUCGGGAAACCGAAGCUAAUACCGGAUAGGAUCUUCUCCUUCAUGGGAGAUGAUUGAAAGAUGGUUUCGGCUAUCACUUACAGAUG
rnacentral:rRNA from 1 species